UGAACGUGCUGAACAAGAGCAACGAG
rnacentral:piRNA from 2 species